rnacentral:lncRNA from 13 species
GUUUCUUUCAGAAGCUCUUGUAAAGCAGGCCUGGUGGUAAUAAAAUCUCUGAGUACUUGCUUGUUCAUAAAAGAUUUUAUUUUUCCUUCAAUUGUGAAGCUUAGUUUGGCAGGAUAUGAAAUUCUGGGCUGAAAGUUCUGUUCUUUAAGGAUGUUGAAUAUCGGCCCCCACUCUUUUCUGGCUUGUAGGGUUUCUGCUGAGAGAUCUGCUGUAAGUCUAAUAGGCUUCCCUUUGUGGGUAACCUGACCUUUCUCUCUGGCUGCCCUUAGUAUUUUCUCCUUCGUUUCAACCCUGGUGAAUCUAACGAUUAUGUGCCUUGGGGUUGCUCUUCUUGAGGAAUAUCUUUGUGGUGUUCUCUGUAUUACCUGGGGUUGAAUAUUGUGCUGCUUUGCUAGAUUUGGAAAGUUUUCCUGAAUAAUAUCCUGAAGAGUAUUUUCCAGCUUGGAUUCAUUCUCUUCGUCGUAUUCAGGUACACCUAUCAAACGUAAAUUAGGUCUUUUCACAUAGUCCCAUAUUUCUUGGAGACUUUGCUCAUUCCUUUUUAUCCUUUUUUCUCUAUUCUUGUGAUUUUUUUUAGGCACCUGUCAUUUUUCCCUUACUGGCACUCAUUCUCUCUCCUACAGGCUUGUGAAGAGGUGCCUACCAUCAUGAUUGCAAGUUUCCUAAGGCCUCCCCAGCCAGGCAGAACUAACCCAUUUAAAGGGAUGGAAGAUUAAUCUCCAUGGCAUCCUCUGAACCUAAGAUCCUAAGAUGCGUCACCCAUAAUCUGGUCGCACCAUCCAAAAGAAACCCUGAAGUCACAGAUGAAAAAUUGAGAUGCAGAGAAGUUAAACAGGAGAGCCAAGAUUUAAACUGAGGAAGCACGGCUUCAGACCCAGAGCUUGUAACUAUUAGUCUAUAGUGUCCCAUGGAAGUAUCAUCUUUGUGUUUGCAUUUAGAAAUGCC